rnacentral:lncRNA from 1 species
CUGAGGCUUUCACCGGGCUGUCAAGCACCCUUUAUUUCCCUUCUCCUCUUCAGAGGAAUGACUCUAUCUUGAUGCAAAAUAUGUUUCUAUUUAAAAUAUUUAUUCCUCUUAGCUUGUUUUGAAAUAGUUGUUGUCAUGUAAUGCCGACUCUCACGGUGGGUUACGAAGGUAAAAGAAUAGUAAAUUUAGACAAGAAAUCAGGAUUUGAUUUUGAAUACAAAUGAGAGGUAAUUCAGUAAGUGGGGAAAAAAAUUAAAACAGCCUUUGUUCAUUAUAAUUUGCCAAGCACUUCAGGGAAGUGCACUGCACUGUACUCUCUGCAGUCCAGUGGGCCCCAGCUCUGUGGGUCAAAUGAUGGCUGUCCUGUGGAGGGCUUGCUGCUCUCCCUGGCUGGUUACUCAGAGCCAUGAAGUCAGUAAUAACAGAUCCAGGCAUAGAUACCAUAGUGAAAUCAGUGACCUCUGGAAAAGGUGAAGCUUGCUGAGCUCCAGUGGUAUGAAGGUUAUGCUGAAAGGAAGUGUUGGUCUUCCCAGCAGCUGCAAUUGCAUGUAGGAGUGUAGAGCCAGGUGAUAGGAAUUAAUUAUAGCCAUUCUUGUCAACACUGCAGCAGGCAGUCCCAUACCUGUCCUCUAGAUGGCUGUUUUUUCAUUGUCUUUAUCCUGCAAGUCAAAAAGUUCUCCUCUAUUGCUGCACGCAUUACAAACCUGGCCAAACUCUUUGGUGAGCCUCCCUCUCUUUUUUAACCUGCAGAUCCUCCCUCUCAGAGUGACGUGGGAACCUCAGAGACGUACAGCCCAACCACAGGUUAGGGGGCAGCAGUUACAGCUGACAGCAAGGACAGUGUCAGAUUUGCCCGUAACAGCAGUGAAUACUGAGAAAGGUGUGGGUUAUACGGGAAAGAAUUACACAACUCAGAGUCUCCAGAAGACUCACCUGUCUCUGUACAUGGUCAUCCUGAUUGCUGUGUUGUGUAGCGCUGUGGUUUUCCUCGUCAUUUUCACUAUUGUUUGCAUUAGAAAGCCCAAAGAAGCUCUAACUCAAUGAAAGCAGGGGCUUCUUCAAGGUAUGAUAGUGUGGCUCAUUAUGAGGAACCACUCUCCUCUACUGAAAACAACUAUGUGAUGGAACCCAUGAAAAAUGAAAGAAAUAAAGAAAAUGAAUAUAAGAAUGUUGGAAACA